AUGUCAUGGGGGCGACUGGCAGGGGUUCUUUCUUCUUUCGGUUUGAUACAUCCUUCCUUCCGCUGCUCCUCGCAAUCAACCGCUAGGGGAAGGAGGGAAGCAGGCAGGGGGGAGAGCGGGAGACUUCCGGAAAUCUCUUUCCUCCCCUCCCUUCACAGGUUGCCCCAUAAUGACCCUGGAGACUCCCGCCUGCCCCCAGUGAAGGAAUUGGUUACUCUCCCAGAGCCCUCCCGGGCAUCACCCCCUUCCUCACUUCCUCCUCUUCCUGCCCCCAGCCUCUACCCCUUCAGCCUCCUGUGGCUUCACAGCCAAGUGCCCCAUCUCAGGAAGAAGAAGUUGGAGCUGCGUGAUGCUAUUCAAAAACAGACGAGAUGGGGACAGAUUUAACCCAAAGGACAUAGUUCAACUCCUGGUCUUGAUGGAGGAGAAGCCCUCAAAGGUCAUAGCGGUGAAACUCUCAUGAACGGAAUUAGUGUCCUGAUGAAACAGGCUCCAGAGACAGCCCUCAUCCGUUCCACCAUAUAAGAAGAGAGAGAGAAGGCUUCAUCUGUGAACCAGAAAGUGGACCCUCACCAGAUACCAUAUCUGCUAAUGCCUUGAUUUUGGACUUUCCAGCCUCCAAAACUGUGAGAAAUAAAUUUAUGUUAUUUUUAAGCCACCCAGUAUGUGGUAUUUUCUUAUAGCAGCCAGAACAGACUAAAACAGCUAGUGUAAUACCAGAAUGGCCAAAAGGGAGAACCUUCUCAGCUGCCAGCUUACCCGGCUGCAGUACAUAAAUUCAAGGCAGCCAGCACCAACACAGCAGAGAAGCCACGGUCCCCACUAUCCACGAUGCCUUUGUGGCCCAAAGUUACUCCACUCUGGGCGGGGCACAGUGGCUCACCCCUGUAAUCCCAGCGCUUUGGGAGGCCGAGGCGGGUGGAUCGUGAGGUCAGGAGUUCGAGACCAGCCUGGCCAAUGUGGUGAAACCCCAUCUCUACUAAAAAUAGAAAAAUUAGCCAGGUGUGGUGGCACGUGCUUGUAGUCCCAACUACUCAGGAGGCUGAGGCAGAAGAAUCACUUGAACCUGGGAGGCGGAGGUUGCAGUGAGCCGAGAUCAUGCCACUACACUUCAGCCUGGGCAACAGAAGGAGACAUGAGAGCUCAAUUUAAGAUGGGAUCCUGGAACUGAGAAGGGACACUGGGGUAAAACUAGUGAAACCUGAUAAACUGUGGAAUUUAAUUAAUUCUAAUAUACCAAUGUUGGUUCCCCAGCUGUGACAAAUGUACCACAAAACUAUGAGACGUUAACAAAAGGGAAAACUGAAUGAUGCAGUAAAUGGGGACUCUGUAAUUAUCUUUACAACUUUUCCUUAAAUUUAAAACUAGUCUAAAAUAUGGCAUUUAUUAAUAAUUAAUAAUUAAUAUUAAUUAUUAAGAUUAAGAAAAUGUGGCACAUAUACACCGUGGAAUACUAUGCAGCCAUAAAAAAGGAUGAGUUCAUAUCCUUUGCAGGGACAUGGAUGAAGCUGGAAACAAUCAUUGUGAGCAAAUUAUCACAAGGACAGAAAACCAAACACUGCAUGUUCUCACUCAUAAGUGGGAACUGAACAAUGAGAACACUUGGACACAGGGCGAGGAACAUCACACACCAGGGCCUGUUGUGAGGUGGGGGGCUGGGGGAGGGAUAGCAUUAGGAAAAAUACCUAAUGUAAAUGACGAGUUUAAUGGGUGCAGUAAACCAACAUGGCACGUGUAUACUUAUGUAACGAACCUGCAGGUUGUGCAUUUGUACCCUAGAACUUAAAGUAUAAUAAUAAUAAAAAAUAAACAAAAGCAGUAGAGAUUUUAUAAUUGCCCACAUGUGCAUAAAACAUCUGUGGGAGGAAAAGCAAUAAAAUAAUCAUUGCAGUUGCCUCUAGAAAAGGACCUCAGUUGCUGGGGGAAGUGGUUUUAUUUUUAUAUUUUGAAUUAUAAUUCAUGCAACCAUAUUACCUCUUUAAAUAUAAGAAAAUUUACAUCUUUUAAGUAUAAAAAAAAUUUUUAAUACAUUUUAAAUUUGUUUCUAUAAGACACCUUAGUACUCUGAGUAACACAUUAAACCAGUAGCUCUCCCAAAGAAUUCAUUAACUUGGAUUCAUUGCUUUUAUUAAUAAGUUGGAUGUCCUAAAAGUACAAGGCUUCAAGGAUGAACGGUAUUAGGGGUAUGUAAGUCUUGAGGAAAAAGAGAACAUUGGAUAAUGGUGUUCUCGGGAUAUUGUCCAAAAAAGUCCCAAGCCUCCAUGAGACAUGAAAGUAUGAAGUAACAGAGAGAUAAUGGAAAGAGAGAUAGAAUGCUACGCAGACUAACUUUGCUGACAUAAAAAAUGUAUCAGGAUUAGCUCUCUUCUGCUUCCCAAUAGACUAUAUUCUAUAUCAUCCCAGUUCUAAAAUGAGCCUCCCUCUGCCUCUUGGCCCUUAACCAAGAGAAAUAGACUGAACUGUUGAACUUCUAAAGGACACCGGGGACCCCGCAAGAGCUGCCUCUGGAGCCAUUCUUUCCUGCACUUUGCCAUCACCCUUCUGUUUCAGCCACCACUUGGCAAAAACCAGCUGAGAGGUGACUGUGAAAUGAAUUCAAAUUUGACUCCAAGAGGGAAACAGGGCUCUCCAGGCAGAGCCAUAAGCCCGAGAGAAAGGGCACAAGAUUAACAGGUCACUGAGCCAGCCAGGGCGAGGAGCCAGGAGGACACCCACCGAGAGAG
ensembl:lncRNA